UGCUGCUGAUGACAUUUAUUUGCUACUCUUGAUCAAACGAUGAUGAUACCAGCAACCACCUAUUUUAUUAUCUGAGGCA